rnacentral:tRNA from 1 species
UGGCUCAGUGGUAGAGCGCUUGUCUUGCAUGCAUGAGGCCCUGGGUUCAAUUCCUCAG